CGAGCGAGAAAGCUGACUUCGGUCAGUGAGUACAGCGGCGAACGGGUGAGUACACGUUGGGUACGUACCUCGAAGUGAUGGAUAGCCGGGGAACUCGAGUUAUACCUCAUAUGGCCGCGGGAUCUACGGCUCCUGCGGGUACAGACUUCGGUCGCUUCGAGAUCGGCCCGCCCCCGAUUAGCUUGUUGGUGAGGUAAUGGCUCACCAGUGCGGCGAUCGGUAGCUGGCCUGAGAGGGUGGUCAGNCACACUGGGACUGAGACACGGNCCAGACUCCUACGGGAGGCAGCAGUCUAGAAGCUUCGGCAAUGGGCGAAAGCCUGACCGAGCGACGCCGCGUGCGGGAUUGAAGGCCUUCGGGUCGUAAACCGCUGUCAGGAGGGAAGAAUGCUCCGGUGGUGAACCGGAGAGCGACGGUACCUCCAGAGGAAGCCCCGGCCAACUCCGUGCCAGCAGCCGCGGUACUACGGAGGGGGCGAGCGUUAAUCGGAAUUACUGGGCGUAACGGGUGCGUAAGUGGUUGCGCAAGUCUGGUGUGAAAACU
rnacentral:rRNA from 1 species